GAGUUUGAUCCUGGCUCAGGACGAACGCUGGCGGCGUGCCUAAUACAUGCAAGUCGAACGAGUCCUCCCAAUUUGAUUUUAUGCUUGCAUAAAUGAUUUUUGGAUUCGGGACGAGUGGCGAACUGGUGAGUAACACGUGGGUAACCUGCCCUAAAGCAGGGGAUAACAUCUGGAAACAGAUGCUAAUACCGUAUAAUUAGUUGGAACCACAUGGUUCCAACUUGAAAGAUGGCUCUGCUAUCACUUUAGGAUGGACCCGCGGCGUAUUAGCUAGUUGGUGAGAUAAAAGCUCACCAAGGCGAUGAUACGUAGCCGACCUGAGAGGGUAAUCGGCCACAUUGGGACUGAGACACGGCCCAGACUCCUACGGGAGGCAGCAGUAGGGAAUCUUCCACAAUGGACGCAAGUCUGAUGGAGCAACGCCGCGUGAGUGAAGAAGGGUUUCGGCUCGUAAAACUCUGUUGUUAAAGAAGAACAAGUGUAAGAGUAACUGUUUACGCUUUGACGGUAUUUAACCAGAAGACCACGGCU
rnacentral:rRNA from 1 species